GCUUUUUUUCAGAUCGGAAAACAAAUCGCUCCGAGUGCCAUCCCGUCGGCGAUUUGCAUUUUAGCCGACAAGAAGGCAGGGGAUGCAGAUUUUCUUUGUGGAUUUUCUCCUUAGUUUCACAGGAAAAAUUUGCACGUGGCGAAAUGAAUAAAUAAAUACAUUUGCUCAUCACUACUUGGCAGUAAUGGAUAUACUGUACAUGUUUAUGGGUUUUCUUGGCAAGUAAAGGAAGGCAUCUCCUUUGUGAAAGAGCUAGUUCAACUGCAGCUAUUUCAGUUAAUUCUUGUAUUACCUUUGGAUCUUUAAGAGAGAAUCCUGACAUGCAGUCAUUGACAAGAUUAAAGACAAAUCUCUGUCCACGAAGGCAUUGUUCAGCAGAAUAGCGUACAUCUUGGUUCCAGACCAACAAGAUUGACGUUAUGGAGUCGCCAGCCAAAUCCCUGGACCUUA